GACAUGAGGGCCACUGCGAAUGACCAGGUGGGUCACUGGCCUGUAGAGGGUGCUCCGGGCUGGAUUGAGCUGAUUCCCCAGAUGACCAGCAGGAGGUGCCACAGAGGUGAGUCUGACCCACUUACUGGGGGAGGGGGCCUGGUUCUGCCGUUACAUCCCAGCUAGGCACAUUGGGGCUCUGAUGCUGGUAAUGCAGCCGGACUCUCUCUCUCAUUGCGCAGGGUCGACAGGUGACACAGUCACACUUGCCUCAGGGAUCCUUGUCCUCCUCGUGACUUUCCUAUUUCUGUGUAGACCCAGUGUCUAUCAGCAGAAGAUCCACCAGACAGCUUCUUUAGGAAGGAAUUCACAAGGUUAAAUUCCUGCUCAGGAAGCGCUUGGGGAACAAUGCAUCUUGGAAUGCUCCAAUCCACAUAAGAAGUCUUCCUGGAGACAUGCAAGAUACCAUGUGGACAAUGGCGUCGGCCUGUAAAGACUGAGUCAUGCAGGGACAUGUGACUUGCCCAGGUGACUCCAGAACUCCAUCUUGAAGCUGGAAUUUGCAUAGGAGGGGGGGGUCUCCACCCACAAGAGAGAGUCUAUUUAAAUCCAUGGGAGACCCCUCCAUUUUGUCUUCAGCUGGCUAAAGAGAGAGCCUCUCCACCCCCCCCAAAGAUACUUGAAAGAAACUUGAACAAAGGACAGUAACUACAGGGUGUGUGAGUGAUUGCUGGACCCAGGCUAAAAGGAGAUUAGUCUGUAAAAGGGAGCAUUCUGGAACUGGUGAGGGUUUUAUCUGUAUUCAGUUUAAUUAGACAUAGACUUGCGUGUUUUGUUUUAUUUUGCUCGGUGACUUACUUUGUUCUGUCUGUUACCACUUGGAAUCACUUAAAUGCUACUUUCUGUGUUUAAUAAAAUCACUUUUUACUUAUUAGCUAA